rnacentral:rRNA from 1 species
UACGGGGGGUGCGAGCGUUGUCCGGAAUCACUGGGCGUAAAGGGCGCGUAGGUGGCCUCUUAAGUGUGUGGUGAAAGCCCGGGGCUCAACCCCGGGUCGGCCAUGCAAACUGGGGGGCUUGAGCAUUGUAGAGGCAGGCGGAAUUCCGGGUGUAGCGGUGGAAUGCGUAGAGAUCCGGAAGAACACCGGUGGCGAAGGCGGCCUGCUGGGCAAUUGCUGACACUGAGGCGCGACAGCGUGGGGAGCAAACAGG